AAUAGAUACCCGGGUAGUCCACGCCGUAAACGAUGAGUGCUAAGUGUUAGGGGGUUUCCGCCCCUUAGUGCUGCAGCUAACGCAUUAAGCACUCCGCCUGGGGAGUACGGUCGCAAGACUGAAACUCAAAGGAAUUGACGGGGGCCCGCACAAGCGGUGGAGCAUGUGGUUUAAUUCGAAGCAACGCGAAGAACCUUACCAGGUCUUGACAUCCCAUUGACCGCUAUGGAGACAUAGCUUUCCCUUCGGGGACAGUGGUGACAGGUGGUGCAUGGUUGUCGUCAGCUCGUGUCGUGAGAUGUUGGGUUAAGUCCCGCAACGAGCGCAACCCUUGUUCUUAGUUGCCAUCAUUUAGUUGGGCACUCUAAGGAGACUGCCGGUGACAAACCGGAGGAAGGUGGGGAUGACGUCAAAUCAUCAUGCCCCUUAUGACCUGGGCUACACACGUGCUACAAUGGACGGUACAAACGGUUGCCAACCCGCGAGGGGAGGCUAAUCCGAUAAAACCGUUACUCAGUUCGGAUUGUAGGCUGCAACUCGCCUAC
rnacentral:rRNA from 1 species